rnacentral:rRNA from 1 species
CAGUAGCCACGGGAAUACGGAGGGUGCAAGCGUUAAUCGGAAUUACUGGGCGUAAAGCGCACGCAGGCGGUCUGACAAGUCAGAUGUGAAAUCCCCGGGCUUAACCUGGGAACUGCAUUUGAAACUGUCAGGCUGGAGUCUUGUAGAGGGGGGUAGAAUUCCAGGUGUAGCGGUGAAAUGCGUAGAGAUCUGGAGGAAUACCGGUGGCGAAGGCGGCCCCCUGGACAAAGACUGACGCUCAGGUGCGAAAGCGUGGGGAGCAAACAGGAUUAGAUACCCGAGUAGUCCCUGUCUCUUAUAC